rnacentral:rRNA from 1 species
AUUGAACGCUGGCGGCAGGCCUAACACAUGCAAGUCGAGCGAGCGGCGGACGGGUGAGUAAUGUAUGGGGACUGCCCGCUAUAGGGGGAUAACUACUGGAAACGGUGGCUAAUACCGCAUACUAUCGGAUCACCCAUAUGGGCUUAGCUAGUAGGUGGGGUAAAGGCUCACCUAGGCGACGAUCCCUAGCUGGUCUGAGAGGAUGACCAGCGAGACUGGAAAUGAGGCACGGGCCAGACUCCUACGGAGGCAGCAGUGGGGAAUAUGGCACAAUGGGCGCAAGCGUGAAGCAGCCAAGCCGCGUGUAUGAAGAAGGCCUUCAGGUUGUAAAGUUCUUACAGCGAGGAGGCGUUACUCGGAGAAGAAGCGCCGGCUAACUCCGUGCCAGCAGCCGCGGUAAUUC